rnacentral:miRNA from 1 species
UAUAUUGGGCUGGUCAAAAAGUUUGUUCAUGAUUUUCUGUAACAUCUUAUAGAAAAACCCAAAUGAACUUUUUGGCCAACCAAUAGUAUAUA